GGGUGACUAGUCUAGUGGUCAGGACGGUUCGUUGUGGAAAUAUUUCCCUUACACUCCUUCCCCUAUGAAGAGUAAUAAUGGGGGAUUUCCUCGAUCCGAACAAACCCCGGUUCGAUUCCGGGGUCGCCCA